rnacentral:lncRNA from 1 species
UCCUGCUGCUGAGAAGACAAUAUGCGCUAUCUCAGCAUCACACAGUGUUGAGAGCUCCUGUGCUUUCUUAAAAAGCCCUCUUCUCCUCUUUGAGGAGGUCACUUGCCUUGCUGCUGUGUUGUCAAUCUUCUUGAUCUGAAUCUUCUGCCGCGACAUUGGAAAAUUUUCAAACAAACCCUUCACAGAAAAAAUCAACACAACUCCGUAUCAGACCAAAGAACCAUUUUACUCCUUAUAUGUAGAGAGAGAGAGAAGGAGAGAACAAAUAAGGAAAAAAAAUCAGACCCUUCACAGAUCAAACUGGUACUUCAAAGAGAAUUCAAUAGAGGGAGAGAGAGAGAAAUGGGGUUCAUAUAUCUAUGUAUAAAAAGAAGGAAUGGGAGAGAUGAGAAAACUAACCUUGAGCUUGAAUACUCAAAGAACUUUCCUGUCGCUGAGAAGACAAUAUGCGCUAUCUCAGCAUCACACAGUGUUGAGAGCUCCUGUGCUUUCUUAAAAAGCCCUCUUCUCCUCUUUGAGAAGGUCACUUGCCUUGCUGCUGUGUUGUCAAUCUUCUUGAUCCGAAUCUUCUGCCGCGACAUUGGAAAAUUUUCAACCAAACCUUCACAGAAAAAAUCAACACAACUCCGUAUCAGACCAAAGAACCAUUUUACUCCUUAUAUGUAGAGAGAGAGAGAAGGAGAGAACAAAUAAGGAAAAAAAGUCAGACCCUUCACAGAUCAAACUGGUACUUCAAAGAGAAUUCAAUAGAGGGAGAGAGAGAGAAAUGGGGUUCAUAUAUCUAUGUAUAAAAAGAAGGAAUGGGAGAGAUGAGAAAACUAACCUUGAGCUUGAAUACUCAAAGAACUUUCCUGCUGCUGAGAAGACAAUAUGCGCUAUCUCAGCAUCACACAGUGUUGAGAGCUCCUGUGCUUUCUUAAAAAGCCCUCUUCUCCUCUUUGAGAAGGUCACUUGCCUUGCUGCUGUGUUGUCAAUCUUCUUGAUCUGAAUCUUCUGCCGCGACAUUGGAAAAUUUUCAACCAAACCCUUCACAGAAAAAAUCAACACAACUCCGUAUCAGACCAAAGAACCAUUUUACUCCUUAUAUGUAGAGAGAGAGACGGAGAAAACAAAUAAGGAAAAAAUCAGACGCUUCACUGAUCACACUGGUACUUCAAAGAGAAUUCAAUAGAGGGUGAGAGAGAGAAAGGGGAUUUGGAAAGAGAGAAAAAAAAUGUGGGUGUGAGAUAAGAGAAAAAAUAAACAAACGACC